UGGUGGAUGGCUCAGUGGUAGAGCACGUGCUUAGCAUGCGCAAGAUCCUGGGUUUAAUCCCCAGGCCCCAG
rnacentral:tRNA from 1 species